UACGUAGGGUGCAAGCGUUAAUCGGAAUUACUGGGCGUAAAGCGUGCGCAGGCGGUUAUAUAAGACAGAUGUGAAAUCCCCGGGCUCAACCUGGGAACUGCAUUUGUGACUGCAAGGCUAGAGUAUGGCAGAGGGGGAUGGAAUUCCGCGUGUAGCAGUGAAAUGCGUAGAUAUGCGGAGGAACACCAAUGGCGAAGGCAAUCCCCUGGGCCUGUACUGACGCUCAUGCACGAAAGCGUGGGGAGCAAACAGG
rnacentral:rRNA from 1 species